UACGGAAGGCAGCAGUGGGGAAUAUUGCACAAUGGGCGCAAGCCUGAUGCAGCCAUGCCGCGUGUAUGAAGAGGGCCUUCGGGUUGUAAAGUACUUUCAGUCGUGAGGAAGGUGUUAAGGUUAAUAACCUUAGCAAUUGACGUUAGCGACAGAAGAAGCACCGGCUAACUCCGUGCCAGCAGCCGCGGUAAUACGGAGGGUGCGAGCGUUAAUCGGAAUUACUGGGCGUAAAGGGCACGCAGGCGGUUAAUUAAGUUGGAUGUGAAAUCCCCGGGCUUAACCUGGGAAUGGCAUUCAAGACUGGUUAGCUAGAGUCUUGUAGAGGGGGUAGAAUUCCGAUGUGUAGCGGUGAAAUGCGUAGAGAUGUGGAGGAAUACCGGUGGCGAAGGCGGCCCCUGGACAAAGGACUGACGCUCAUAUGCGAAAGCGUGGGGAGCGAAACAGGGAUUAGAUACC
rnacentral:rRNA from 1 species